ensembl:misc_RNA 7SK 7SK RNA
GGAUGUGAGGUGAAUCUGGUUGCAACAUCUGUUCACCCAUUGAUCAUUAGGGUUGAUCAUGCUUAUCUGGAUGGCUGGGAAUAUGCCCUUUUCCCUCACUGCUACAUGUGCAUUUCUCCAAAAUCUGCAUGCUGUGUCAGAGGACAACCUUUCCCAGUAGAGGAGACAAUUCUUGGGUCAAGUAGCCACACUCUCUUGCUAGAACCUCCACACAGGCUCUCAAAAUUAGUCUACAUCAGAACAAAUUUCCUAAUCUACAUACCAUGUGCAGUAGAUAAAUGAGAAACACUCAGAUUUUGCUUAAAUCUGUGCUACUCUAU